ACUGGAUUUAAAAUCUUUCCCAGAAAGGUGUUUAUCUCGUAUCUGUUUUCAUGGAACACUUGCUUGAACCAUGCUAAAGACACACAAUCCUACUGAUGGACAACUAUAGUGUUUGAAAUGAGAGGUAUACUCCAUAGGCUAUGUAUUUGGACACUUGUUUCCCAGUUGGCUAUGGUUAGAGAGGCUAUGAAUCUGUUAGGAGGUGUGACUCUGUUAAAGGAUGCCACACAGGGUGGUCAAUGAGAAUUUAGAGCCUUACUGAACUUCCAGUUCACUCUUCUGCUUCCCACAUGUGAAUGGAGAGCGACAUCUCAGCUUGCUGUUCUGGACACCUGCCGCCAUUCCUCCUGUAAUUGGUUGAUCUGAUGCUGUCUGCAAUCCUCAAGAUGACCUUGAACUCAGAGAUUUAAUCUUCUGGAAUCCAUAGCCACUAUGCCUCAAGAUCUCCAUACCAAGAUCCAGAUCAGAAACUUCUAUCUCCCAGCCCCCAGAUAAGGGUCACUGAUGGAAUGAAACAUCUGAAACCUUCAGCCAAAUGGGCACUUCCUUUCCCAAGUUGUUUCUGUCAUAUAUUUGGUCAAAACAAUGAGUUCAAGUCUAAAGACCUGAGAACCAAAGGACCUAAUAGUGUAACUAACUCCCAGACUGAACACAGAUGAUGACAAGAAGGGGUGGAAGAAGAGGAAAGGUACGCAGAGUCACAUCCAGCUUUUCUGGGAACCCAAACUCAAGACCUCAUGAUGAGCAUCAAAGAAGGCCCAUUCAGCCCAAGCUAUAUAGUAGAAUCCUUUUAAAAGACCAACCAAUAAUAAUAAAUAAUGCUUGCCUUCCACUCUG
rnacentral:lncRNA from 1 species